UAAGUCCCGCAACGAGCGCAACCCUUGUCAUCAGUUGCUACGCAAGAGCACUCUGAUGAGACCGCCGGUGACAAACCGGAGGAAGAUGGGGAUGACGUCAAGUCCUCAUGGCCCUUACGGCUAGGGCCUCACACGUCAUACAAUGGUCGGAACAGAGGGCAGCGAAGCCGGGAGGCGGAGCCAAUCCCAGAAAACCGAUCGUAGUCCGGAUUGCAGUCUGCAACUCGACUGCAUGAAGUCGGAAUCGCUAGUAAUCGCGGAUCAGCAUGCCGCGGUGAAUACGUUCCCGGGUCUUGUACACACCGCCCGUCACACCAUGGGAGUGGGGUUUGCCAGAAGGCGUUUGUCCAACCGCAAGGAGGACGGCGACCACGGUGGGUUCCAUGACUGGGGUGAAGUCGUAACAAGGUAGCAGUACC
rnacentral:rRNA from 1 species